rnacentral:rRNA from 1 species
ACGAACGCUGGCGGCGUGCUUCACACAUGCGAGUCGAACGGAAAGGCCCUGCUUUUGUGGGGUGCUCGAGUGGCGAACGGGUGAGUAACACGUGAGUAACCUGCCCUUGACUUUGGGAUAACUUCAGGAAACUGGGGCUAAUACCGGAUAGGAGCUCCUGCUGCAUGGUGGGGGUUGGAAAGUUUCGGCGGUUGGGGAUGGACUCGCGGCUUAUCAGCUUGUUGGUGGGGUAGUGGCUUACCAAGGCUUUGACGGGUAGCCGGCCUGAGAGGGUGACCGGCCACAUUGGGACUGAGAUACGGCCCAGACUCCUACGGGAGGCAGCAGUGGGGAAUAUUGCACAAUGGGCGGAAGCCUGAUGCAGCAACGCCGCGUGCGGGAUGACGGCCUUCGGGUUGUAAACCGCUUUCGCCUGUGACGAAGCGUGAGUGACGGUAAUGGGUAAAGAAGCACCGGCUAACUACGUG